rnacentral:snoRNA from 1 species
AUUCCAUGAUUUGGACACUUUCUCAUCAGCUCCUUGAAUCUGUUUCAUACCUCGUGAUAGCUCCCUACAUCUAUCUGUUGGAAAGUUUGAAUUUUCAAUUUUUCUACU